rnacentral:lncRNA from 1 species
GGUGAUCAGCCAUCAAAGUAAUCUCUGCAAGGGAGCUAGCACCCUGGGGAGAUAGAGAGCUUGGAUUGGUCCUCUGCUUCGUGUGGAUACCCGUAGAGGCCGGACGCUUGUGCGGCUUCAAGCGAACCUUCAUCCUAAAACCACGAACUCCAGUUUGCGGUGAUCAUCUACCCGCACAAGGUGAAGAUCUGAUCUUCUGAAGGUUCUAAA